rnacentral:rRNA from 1 species
GACAGCAGUCGCCACGGGAAAACGUAGGGUGCAAGCGUUAAUCGGAAUUACUGGGCGUAAAGCGCACGCAGGCGGUUUGUUAAGUCAGAUGUGAAAUCCCCGAGCUUAACUUGGGAACUGCAUUUGAAACUGGCAAGCUAGAGUCUUGUAGAGGGGGGUAGAAUUCCAGGUGUAGCGGUGAAAUGCGUAGAGAUCUGGAGGAAUACCGGUGGCGAAGGCGGCCCCCUGGACAAAGACUGACGCUCAGGUGCGAAAGCGUGGGGAGCAAACAGGAUUAGAUACCCGCGUAGUCCCUGUCUCUUAUAC